GCCUGGGUGGCUCAGUCGGUUGAGUGUCUGACUUUGGCUCGGAUAGUGAUCUCACGGUUAGUGAGUUUGAGCCCCACCUUGGGCU
rnacentral:tRNA from 1 species